rnacentral:rRNA from 1 species
GAACGCUAGCGGCAGGCCUAACACAUGCAAGUCGAACGGUAACAGGGAAGAGCCUAGCUCUUUCGCUGACGAGUGGCGCACGGGUGCGUAACGCGUAUACAAUCUGCCUUUAAGCGGGGAAUAGCCCAUGGAAACGUGGAUUAAUACCCCAUAGUAUGUAGUUCUCUCCUGAGAAUUACAUUAAACAUUUAUGGCUUAAAGAUGAGUAUGCGUCCUAUUAGUUAGUUGGUAAGGUAACGGCUUACCAAGACCGCGAUAGGUAGGGGUCCUGAGAGGGAGAUCCCCCACACUGGUACUGAGACACGGACCAGACUCCUACGGGAGGCAGCAGUGAGGAAUAUUGGACAAUGGAGGCAACUCUGAUCCAGCCAUGCCGCGUGCAGGAAGACGGCCCUAUGGGUUGUAAACUGCUUUUAUACGGGAAGAACCACAUCUACGUGUAGAUGCUUGACGGUACCGUAUGAAUAAGGACCGGCUAACUCCGUGCCAGCAGCCGCGGUAAUACGGAGGGUCCAAGCGUUAUCCGGAAUCAUUGGGUUUAAAGGGUCUGUAGGCGGAGUAAUAAGUCAGUGGUGAAAGUCUGCAGCUUAACUGUAGAAUUGCCAUUGAUACUGUUAUUCUUGAAUUAUUAUGAAGUGGUUGGAAUGAGUAGUGUAGCGGUGAAAUGCAUAGAUAUUACUCAGAACACCUAUUGCGAAGGCAGAUCACUAAUAAUAUAUUGACGCUGAGGGACGAAAGCGUAGGUAGCGAACAGGAUUAGAUACCCUGGUAGUCUACGCCGUAAACGAUGGAUACUAGCUGUCCGGGGUCUUGAGUCCUGGGCGGCCAGCGAAAGUGAUAAGUAUCCCACCUGGGGAGUACGUUCGCAAG